AUUGAGCGCUGGCGGCGUGCUUAACACAUGCAAGUCGAUCGGUAACAGGUGUAGCAAUACAUGCUGACGAGAGGCGGACGGGUGAGUAAUGCUUGGGAAUCUGCCUAUUAGUGGGGGACAACCCGGGGAAACUCGGGCUAAUACCGCAUACGCUCUACGGAGGAAAGCCGGGGACCGCAAGGCCUGGCGCUAAUAGAUGAGCCCAAGUCGGAUUAGCUAGUUGGAGGGUAACGGCCUACCAAGGCGACAAUCCGUAGCUGGUCUGAGAGGACGACCAGCCACACCGGAACUGAGACACGGUCCGGACUCCUACGGGAGGCAGCAGUGGGGAAUAUUGGACAAUGGGGGCAACCCUGAUCCAGCGACGCCGCGUA
rnacentral:rRNA from 1 species